rnacentral:rRNA from 1 species
GAUGAACGCUGGCGGCGUGCCUAAUACAUGCAAGUCGAGCGAAAAGACGAGGAGCUUGCUCCUCGGACGUUAGCGGCGGACGGGUGAGUAACACGUGGAUAACCUACCUGUAAGACUGGGAUAACUUCGGGAAACCGGAGCUAAUAGCGGAUAAUAUAUUGAACCGCAUGGUUCAAUAGUGAAAGACGGUGUUGCUGGCACGUAUAGAUGGAUCCGCGCCGCAUUAGCUAGUUGGUAAGGUAACGGCUUACCAAGGCAAGGAUGCGUAGCCGAACUGAGAGGGUGAUCGGCCACACUGGAACUGGGACACGGUCCAGGCUCCUACGGGAGGCACCAGUAGGGAAUCUUCCGCAAUGGGCGAAAGCCUGACGGAGCGACGCCGCGUGAGUGAUGAAGAUCUUCGGAUCGUAAAACUCUGUUAUUAGGGAAGAACAAAUGUGUAAGUAACUAUGCACGUCUUGACGGUACCUAAUCAGAAAGCCACGGCUAACUACGUG